UGAACCUGUAACAACAUAACAAAAACAUCCACCGCACAUACACAAACCCAAGAGCACAAGUGAAUUAAAUUAUGGUAUUUCUUCUUAUAAAAGUAACUACAUCUCAGAAAGCUUUUCAGACAUCCAAGGCGAAACAUCUUUGGGUCUGAAAACUGAACAUCAAAGGUAAUCUAAUAGCCAUCACUUCUUGGGCUAAGGUACCUAUUUCAUGGAACUUCAGGAGACAUGAACAAAUACCGGAGUAAAACCCACAAUCUCAAAACCACCUUUUGGAACAAAUUUAAAAGUAAUUUAGAUUGGAGCUGAGAAGAGUAACUCUAUCUUUACUAUUCUAAUGUAGGUCAAUCUGUAUUAAGAAUCUGAGUGGAGUCAAAGGAGCAGGCACUAAAAAGAACCUAUUUUUAAACCUUAAUUCAUUCAUCUAAACAUUUAUAUUUAAGGAAAAGCUGUAAAGCAGAAAGCUCAAAAGUCAGAAGACCUAUGUUCUAAUACUGGCUCUAUAAAAAUUACUUCAGUAAUCAUGAAAAAAAAUCACUUAACUUCUCUGGACCUUAUUUCCUAAUCUGCAAAACAGGCAUAAAAAACUUAGCCUUGGGCUUCCCAUGUGGCGCAGUGGUUGAGAGUCCGCCUGCCGAUGCAGGGGACAUGGGUUCAUGCCCCAGUCCGAGAAGAUCCCACAUGCUGCGGAGCGGCUGGGCCCGUGAGCCAUGGCCGCUGAGCCUGUGCGUCCGGAGCCUGUGCUCCGCAAUGGGAGACACCACAACAGUGAGAGGCCCGCGUACCGCAAACAAACAAACAAACAAACAAAAAAAAACUUAGCCUUUCAACCUCACAAAACUGUUUUAAGGACCAAAGAAUAAUCUGAAAAUAUGUUAAACUUGGUAACAAUAAUAGAUACCACUUGAUGAAUGCCUGCUAUGUGGCAAGCAAUGUGCAGGUGCUAUAUCUACAACAAUCCUCAAGUCAGGUAUUACAAUCCCCUCUUUAUAUAUUAAAAAAAAUGAGGCUCAGAAUUCCCUGGAGGUCCAGGGGUUAGGACUCCGAGCUUUCACUGCCAAGGGCGCAUGUUCAAUCCCUGGCCGGGGAAAUAAGAUCCCUUCAGGCCCUGCAAGCCCUGCAGCAUGGCAAAAAAAAAAAAAAAAAAAUGAGGCUCAGAGAAGUUAUGCAACUUGCCUAAGAUGUUCAGUAAUAGAGCCAGAAUUUGACCCUAAGUCUAUAUAACAACAAUUGUCCAUGCUCUUUCCAAUAUACCCUGAUACCUCCAUACAAAUAUAAUAAGAUUUAUCAUUUAAUGAGGGCUUUCUCUAUUCCAGGAAUGGUACUAAAUGUUUUACUUAUAUUACCUCAUUUAUCCCUCACAGAAACCCUAUUAGGUACAUAUAACCUACAUUUUAUGGGUUAAAAAAAAUGAAUUUCAAAGAGGUUAAACAACUUUGCCAAGGUGUGCCUGAUCUGGCUCCAAAGCUUUAGUAUUAACCACUUUCCUAUACUAUAUUUAAUAUAGUGUCCGAAGACCGAAGUUAAAAUGCGUCUCCGAAAAAAUGGAGAAGUCAAUGAAGAAGAAAUAGAGUCAGAAAUCAAUUCCAAGUUCCUUGGGAUCAAGUAACAUGUCUUGGGACUCUGUCUAGCACAGUGAAGCUGUCGUGAACAAACACAGGUUUCUGAGUGGAUGAAUGAAUAUUGAAACAGCACUGAUCAAUAUGAGGUUUCAUCUUCAAGGAAUUCAUGGAAAAGACUCUGACAAGUACAGGUUUCUGGUAACUGACUGUACUGCUGAACUGAAUUAAUAAGCAUUUUCAGAACUCUAAUGAAAAACUGAUGAACUCAUAAAAGUGCUAUUAAAAGAUCAAGAUGAAAAAAAAUUAAUUACAUGGGACUAAGUGAGCUGAUCAGGAUGAUUAUAAUUCUUGUGACUUUCUGUUUGAAUUAAAAAAAAAAUCCCACAAGGACUCAGAGGCAAAAAAUAUACAAAUCAAUUUUCACUGCAAAGUAAAGGAGCUGUUACAGUGGAGGAUUACUGGACUGAAUGUCAAUAUUAUGACAUAGUAUGAGUGUGUUUCGUGUUUGGUAAUUGCAAUCACUGUAGCUUUUGUUGUGGUCAUCCAUUUACAAUGCUUGGUGUCAGUCUAUUUAUCUCCUGUAAAAAUAAAAUACA